rnacentral:rRNA from 1 species
CGGAAUUCCUGGGCGUAAAGAGUGUGUCGGCGGUGCUCUAAGUUCGGUGUGAAAUCUCCCGGCUCAACCGGGAGGGUGCGCCGGAAACUGGGGUGCUGGAGCGCGGGAGAGGAAAGCGGAAUUCCUGGUGUAGCGGUGAAAUGCGUAGAUAUCAGGAGGAACACCGGCGGUGUAGACGGCUUUCUGGACCGUAGCUGACGCUGAGACACGAAAGCGUGGGUAGCAAACAGG